CAACUUUCAACAACGGAUCUCUAGGCUCUCGCAUCGAUGAAGAACGCAGCGAAAUGCGAUAAGUAAUGUGAAUUGCAGAAUUCAGUGAAUCAUCGAAUCUUUGAACGCACCUUGCGCCCCUUGGUAUUCCGAGGGGCAUGCCUGUUUGAGUGU
rnacentral:rRNA from 1 species